UGAGGUUGGUAGCCUCUAGUAUUAUCUAAAGAAGAAUUUUUGCUGUAAUCUCAUUAAUAUAGUGGAAGAUUAUGUUGGACUACGGUCCCGUUAUUUUUCCCGCUUUGGGUUUUUCAUGUAAAAAUUUGUAUCUCUUGUGAUUGGUUUUUAUUUUGGAUUCAUUAGUUUAUUUUUCUGCUUAUUUAUUUGUGGUGCACAUCCUAUUUUAAUCACACAAAGAAGGAAAAAAAUUUAUUUCCGCUUAAUUUAUAACUGCUUGGUAGUCCCUUUCCCAACAAGAUGAGUGAGUACUUCGAUGAAAAUGGAGAUGAUAACAUGUUAGUGUCUAGCCUAGCUAUUUUGAUAGAUCCAACACCAAUCAUGGCCUCAUUAUACAAGGAAUUGAGCUUAGGCCUACAAAUAAUCGAUAGAUUGAAUCGUAUCUUUAACACAACAAUAUUUUUUAUGAGUAUGUUAAUGUUAAGAUGUAUUCAAGAUCAUUAGGUGGGCAUAAUAUACUAUUAUGAUCAGAUUUGUAUUAAGUAUAUUACUGAUGCUUCAUCUUUCGAAAAUCAUUUCAUGUUGAUAAGUUGAAAAUUGGGUUCAAAGUUCGCAUUGGCUGAGGCUGGGAAAGUAUUUCCUUAAUGGGCUCUGUCCUGCUGUGCAAACUAUUCUUAUUUCUUAUUAUAAUUUAUUGCAGAAAAACUAAAUUCUAAAAAUGAUGACCUUUUUUCAACUUCCGGAUACAGAGAUCAAAUUCUUAAUAUUCUGGGAAAAAAAUCUUUUAUCCACAGUAGAAUAGCGUAUUCAAUGUGUUCCAUUUGCAGACAUUGAAAAGCAUGAAAAAUUUGGAUCUUUUUUAUGUCCUUUUUCUAUAAUUUAUCUAAGAAUAAACAUAUAAUAAAAAUAAUAAUAAAAAUGUCCUUUUAACUUUAAGGAUAAGGAAGGAGGGGAUUGACUAGGGCUCCAU
rnacentral:lncRNA from 1 species